UACGUAGGGGGCUAGCGUUGUCCGGAUUUAUUGGGUUUAAAGGGUGCGUAGGCGGUCAUGUAAGUCAGUGCUGAAAUAUCCCGGCUUAACCGGGAGGGUGGCAUUGAUACUGUAUGACUUGAGUAAAGUUGAGGUUGGCGGAAUUGACGGUGUAGCGGUGAAAUGCUUAGAUAUCGUCAAGAACACCUAUUGCGAAGGCAGCUAACUAAGCUUUAACUGACGCUGAGGCACGAAAGUGUGGGGAUCAAACAGG
rnacentral:rRNA from 1 species